GUUUAUCUAAGUCGAACACACGUUUCAAUUUACUGGUUGACGCCGACACGACCAGAUGCUGCAAGGUAAUGUAAACAACAAGGUUUCCCGAUGAAAUGUUACUAUGUGGAUACUGUGGUGAAGAUCUCCCACCGGGGACUAAAAGUGUAGAGGGAGAAAAGAAGUACCAUGAGGAAUGUAUCAAACUAAAUAUUCCAAGAGGGCAGGAAGCACUUGGGAUCUUAGGAAACAUUUCCACACAGUCCAAUGUUUUGUGCAUGAAUGUAGAUACUGUCU